rnacentral:rRNA from 1 species
GACGUAGGGGGCGAGCGUUGUCCGGAUUUAUUGGGCGUAAGGCGCGCGUAGGCGGCUGCGCAAGUCGGUUGUGAAACCCCGGGGCUCAACCCCGGAACUGCACCCGAUACUGGGUAUCUCGAGUCCGAGAGAGGUGAGUGGAAUUCCGAGUGUAGAGGUGAAAUUCGUAGAUAUUCGGAGGAACACCAGUGGCGAAGGCGGCUCACUGGCUCGGUACUGACGCUGAGGUGCGAAAGCGUGGGGAGCAAACAGG